GGCUGAUUAGCUGCCCGGGUCGGUGGCGAGGUUCGGCGCAGUCGCUGGCUGUGCAGGGUGACGGUGGUGGUGUCUUUCCGCGAGCUCUUACAGUCUUGUUUAGCCUUCACUCAGUCUGGAGCGUGUGGCACCGCAGGGUCAGUCGCGCAGAUUCAUAUAAUUAAGGCCAAGGAGGGGUCACCAAACUUUUUUGGUGUCUCUCCCUGGGAAGUAACGUGUGUCGUGCAGUUUGGAGAUGUGUACCGCUACGUCUGACAUCCCAGAUGCUGUUUGAGUACAUUUGGCGUCUGUGAGCAUUUUGGGGAGUUUUUGGUGAAUGGGAUAUUUUAUCUGGGUGGGUUUUGUGAGCCAUGGUACAAAGUCUGUAGGGAUUUGUGUCCUUGUAGACCUGGGUGUGCAUUUUCUGAGCUUUUGGGCAUUAGAGUCACUGGGUGUUAGACCCUUAUGUAGACGUCUGUACCCCAACGUGUGAGGCCUUUGAACUGUUGUGAUUCUGGGUCCCAAGGUGUGAUGUCUCUGAGCUGCUUUAGGAAGGGGUUUGUCUAAAGGUGUAAAGUAUCUGAGCUGUUUGGGGUCUGUGUGUCAGUAGUAAAAUCUCUUACCAUUUUGGCUGUGAGGUCUCUGUCCCGGAACUGAGGGAGUUGGAAACCCGGCAGGUAUGAUUCCGAAGCCUGGAACCCGACGUGCUGAUGGUGCGUUGUUGAGGGUGUCACUUGUCUCCUGGAGUCUCAGUACGUAUCAUAAUCAGUCAAAUGGGGCCAGUGCCCACCUUGGAGGGUACCUGUGCAUGUUAACAGUGUGUGUAAAGGGCCCGGCUCCCAGCUAUGGUUCAGCAAAUGUUUUCUGAGCGCCUGCCAUGUACGUGAGUACUAUUCGAGGAGUUUGUGACAGGACAAAACUGACAAAGUCUCAUUUCAUAGAGUUGGUCAAUAAGUAAAUCAAGGGUGGCAGGUGCUAUGUAUGAAGAAAGAUAGGGCUGGACCAGGGGAAAGGGUAUGUGGAGAUGAUGUUAUUAUUUUAUUCAAGGUAAUCAGGGAAAGUCUCCCUGAAGGAUGACGAAUGAGCAGAGACCUGGAGGAAGUGAGGGAGCACGCCGUGGGAUUACCUGAAGGAAGAGCAUUCCAGGCAGAAGGAACAGCAGGUGCCACAGUCCUGGCGGGGCAGUCUACUUGGCGUGCUCCUGGAUAUCAAGGAGUCCUGUGAUGCACUGGGUCCAGCACGUAGCACUCAUUGAAAGGUGUCUGGUGCUGCUCUCUGUGUUUGUCCCACAAUCUGUGGUCAUCCCCAUUUCACAGAUGAAGGACCCGAGGCUCCAAGAUGUGCCCUGCACCUUCUCUCCUGCUUACACCUGAAAUUACUGAAGAGGGGUGAAACUUUCUAGCCCAUCAUGAGAGACAGAGGGCCUGAGUGUAAGAGCUGCAGGGAGGACACCGUCCACACUGAAUGUCAGCCAACCAGCGGAGAUCAGUUAUAAAAUGGGAAUCAUGCCCCUCAUAACAUUGCUACUCUUGAUGGAGGGCAGGACUUAAGAAUGAGAAAGGAACUGGGGCAAAGGAGAGAGGCAGGAAGGGGAAGCUGGAGGACAGUGAGGAAAAAACCCACUGGCUUCAUCAUAUUGCUUGGAUUUGGCCCAGUUCACCUUGAUUAACUGAUAUAUUCACUUUUCCCCUGUCCCUACCCUUUCUUUCCCUUCCCUUCUCUUCUCUUUUGUGCCUGAGCAGUUCAGUCCUAAAGCCAUUAGGUGUUGACGGGCAAGGCAAGUAUAUGCGUGUAGGGGCAUCCCAAUUUGGGAGGUCAGAGCCCAAGGUGGUAAGGAGGAUAUCCCUGGGGGUUCUGUGGGGAGGUGGUUAACUGGCUCAGGGAUUCAGGCUUGAGUGAGGUGUGGAAGUCAAGGGCAGGGGAUGGUUCAGCAUAGCACGUGGGGAGGACCUCUUUGUGGAGGAGGGAUGGCUUAUAUGCAUUGGGAUUUGUCAACUCAGUGAAUAUAUAAGGAUGGUGGGAGCCACGUCUGUCACUUUUGGAAGAGGGAAUUUCCAAUAUGGAAAGGAGGUAAACUGGAACAACUUCUGAGGAGUUCUACUGGAAUUAAAGGUCUCCGUGAGAACUCCUGGUUUUCAAUAGAUAUGUGUGCAUAUGUGGAUAGAUUGAUAUAGAAAUAUAUAUAUGUGUGUGUGUGUGUGUGUGUGAUUGUGUUCACACAUAUAUUCCAAACUUCCUGAAAACAGCAACAUCCCAAUGACAAUAAGUACACCUACCGCUAGAUCCUAGCUUCUGAAUACCAUUCUCCGCUAAAUGCUGGGUUCCCAGGCUGAGGAGAGAAAGGAUUAAUGAGCCUGGCUCAACUUGUCAUGUCAGUAAUAAGGGAAAGUUAAGGAAUGAUGGGGAGAUGUCAGGGGGACACAGAAUAUAGCUGGAGGGCUCUCCCACCGGAAAAGCUGGGGACUCUUUUAUCUUUUCCAGCUUCUCUGAGGUAUUAUUGACAUAUAGCAUGUAAGUUUAAGGUGCACAGUGUGAUGAUUUGAUACACGUAGGUAGGGCAAAACGAUUACCACAAUAAGGUUAGUUAGCACUCUAUCCCCUCACAGAAUUACCUUUUUAAAAAUUGUGGUGAUAACAUUUCAGAUCUACCCUCUUAGCUUUCAAUAUACGAUACAGUUUUGUUCCUUAUACUCAGCAUGCUGUACAUUAGAUCCCCAUAACUUAUUCAUCUUGUAGCUGGAAGUUUGUACCGUUUGACCAAUAUUUCCCCCAGCCCCUGGCAACCGCCAUUCUAAACUCUAUUUCUGUGAGUUUGACUUUUUUAGAGUCUACAUAUAAGUAGAACAUACAAUAUGUCUUUCUUUCACUUACUUCACUUAGCAUAAAGCCUUCCAGGUCCAUUCGUGUUGUUGCAAAAGGCAGGAUUUUCUUCGUUUUUGUGGCUGAAUAAUAUUCCGUUGUAUAUGUCACCACAUUUUCUAUAUCCAUUCAUCCCCUCCAUGGCCACUUAGUUGCUUACAUAUCUUGGUUGAAGCUGCAUUGUAAAUUGUGACGUUGGUGUUAGUCCUCCAACUUUGUUUUUCAAAAUUAUUUGGCUAUUCUAGUUCCUUUGCCUUACCCCAGAAAUUUUAUCAUCAGUUAGUCUAUAUGUACAAAAAAAUCCUUGCCUGGAUUUGUGAUUGGAAUUGUAUGAAAUUGAUGGAUCUAUUUGGGGACUAUUGACAUCCUAAUUAUAUUGAAUUUCUCAACAGAUGAACGCAGUAUGUGUCUCCAUUUUGUUAGGUCUUCUUAUAUUUCUUUUCCUCAGCAUUUUGUAGUUUUGAGCAUACAGAUCCUGCUUAUGUUUCGCUAGGUUUUGGGGGGAAGCUAUUAUAAAUGGUAUGCACAAGUCUUUUUUUUUAAAAUUUCCUAAUUGUUCAUUGCUAGUACAGGCAAAUAUGCCUGAUUUUUUGGUGUUGAGCUUGUAUCCUGCGACCUUGUUAAACUCACUUCUUAGUUAUAGGAGUUUUUGUUAAUAGAUUUCAUGGGAUUUUCUAGGUAGAUAAUCAUGUCAUUGGUGGAUGGGAGCAGUUUGAUUUCCUCCUUCCCAAUCUCUAAACCAUUUGUUUCUUUUUCUUUUCUUACUGGAGUGGCUAGGACUUCCAGUACAAUGUUGACUUAUAGCUAUCCUCCUGGCCUGGUUCCUGAUCUUAGGGAGAAAGCAUUUAGUCUCUCUCCAUCAAGUAGGAUGGAGGGGCGGGUAUUUUUGUAGAUGCUCUGUGUCAGGUUAAGAAAGCUCCCUUCUACUCCUGGUUAGCUGAAUGUUUUCAUCAUGAACGACUGUUGAAUUUUGUCAGAUACUUUUUCUGCAUCAACAGAUAACGAUCAUGUGGUUCUUUAUCUUUGGUAUGCUACUAUGCUGGCUUGAUUGAUGUUUUAAUGCUGCACCAGCUUUGCAUUUCGGGGAUAAACCUCACUUGGUCAUGGUGUAUUAUUCUUUUUAUAUAUUGAAUUUGAUUUGCUACUACUGUCUUUGUUUGACUUUGGUAUCAGGGUAAUGCUAAUCUGAAAAAAGAACUCAACAAGUGUUCCCUCUCUUCUGUUUCCUUGAAGAGAUUGCGUAGAAUUGCUGUCAUUGCUUCUUAAAUGUUUGGCAGGAUUUUCCAGGGGUACCAUCUGGCCCUGGAGAUUCCUUUUCUGUAAGUUUUUCAACUACAGACUCAAUUUUAAAAAUAGAUGAUCUGUUUCUUUUUGGCUGAGCUUUGAUAGUUUGUUCCAUUUCGCCUAAAUUGCCAAAAGUAAUUAUGUAGAAUUAUUCAUAGAAUCCUUUUAAUUUCUGUGGGAUCUGUAACCUAUUUCAUUCCUGAUGUUGGUAAGUUGUGUCUUUAGUUAUCUUGCCUUUUUUUUUUUUUUUUGUCUGUCUGGGUAGAAGUUUAUGAAUUUGUAUUGACCUAUUGAAAGAACCAGCUUUGGGUUUCGUUGAUUAACUCUAUUCUUUUUCUGAUAACUGUUCCAAUCUCUAUUUCCCUUAUUUGCUUGCUUUGAAUUUAUUUGGAUUUUCUUUUUCUAGUGUCUUAAGGUGGAAGCUAUCAUUAUUGAUUUGGGUUCUUUAUUCUUUCUAAUAAGAUAAGCAUUUGAUGCUGUACAUUUACGGCUAAGCACUGCUGUACCUGCAUCCUGCAGAUUUUGGUAGGUUGUUUUUUCAUUUUCAUGUUGCUUAAAUUAAUUUGUAACUUUCCUUGAUCCUUGCUCUUUGGUCCAUGGAUUAUUUAGAAGUAUGUGAUUUAAUUUCCUUGUGUUUGGAGAUUUUCCUCCUAACUUUGGCUUACUUAUCGGUGGUUUUUCUCUUUUGGUCAGACGACAUUCUUUGUAUGAUUGCAGUUAUCUUGCAAUUGGUCAUAUUUGUUUUAUGACCCAGGAUAUAGUCUACCUUGGUGAAACUUCCAUAUGCACUUGAAAAGAAUGUGGUAUAUUCGGCUAUUGUUAUGUGGAGGGUUCUAUACCUGUGAGAACAUUCGGUUCACCCAUGCAUUCUAAUUUGCUUUCUCUCCGUUCUGUGUAUUACUGAGGUUGUUGAAGUCUCCAGCUGUUCUUGUAGAUUUGUUUGUUUCAGUUCUUCCAGUCCUGACUUGGUCAUGUAUUUUGAAGCUUUGCUGUUGAGUACUGUGCAGAAUAGAGUUAACAUAGCAGGCCUGAGACUAUAAUCCUUAGAAGGGCUGGCUUGUUGGCCCUCACGUCGCGUCUGAGAACUUGGAUUUCAAGAGGUUUCCCACCGUUGCCUCCUUCAGAAGUGUAGUUUACUCCUCCAUCUGUCCAAACAGUAUGUUUUAUGCUAAACACCUGCUUUCCUCCUGGGAACCUGAAAUCUUGUUAUGUGCUAGGCCCCGGGUUUCUCAGGAGCUUCCCUGGUGGACAGCAUUUCACACGCGUUGUUAUGAUCCGUUGCCGGAGGGACAAAUUGCGUGAUUAUCUACUAGGAAAGGACUCUUGGAAGCUUGCGCUGGUUUCCUCCGGAUGUUGCCCAGUGCACCUCUCCCCCUGGAUGAUUUGGCUUUGUAUCCUUUUGCUGCAGUAAAUCUUAGCCAUGAGGAUGACUAUGUGCUAGGUCCUUGGGGUCCUCCUAGGAAUUCAUCAAAAGCAAGGGUGGUCUUGGGGCAUCUGAAACAGUGGUGGCAGCUGUGGAUUCACUAGCGAGACUGUGACUCGCUGAAAUACGGUGAAAGCCUUGUUUGAGUAAAGGGAGGAUGAAGCAGUAGGGAUGACGAUCUUUUUGUGCUCAUUGACUGUGGAUGUACCCGUGCUAUGAAACAGCAGCUGAGCCACUGACUGUUGUGAUAGGUGUUACUUACAGAAUUUGAAAACAAAAGAUCCAGAUCCAGGAGAGUUAGUGCACUGCAUCCUCGGCUGCUUCUGCUGUGCUGCCUGAUGCCUGGGGGGAAAGGAUGCAAACCUUACAAAAGGUGAACUCUGGGUCGGCCAAAAAAUGUUAAAAGUUUGACUUGCUCUCUCCUACAAGCGGAAGAAAGCAAGUAAAAUCAGGUUCUGGGCUGGAGAAAGCUUCAGAUAAACUAGAGGCAAGAAGGGGAAAAAGGUCUGCAGGCUUUUCUUCAACGUGGCGGCGGCGGCUGCGGCGGCGGCGGCGGCGGCGGCUGCGGCUGCUGCUGCUGCUGCUGCUGCAGCAGCAGCAGCAGCAGCCCCUCCCAGCACUCGCGCCCGAGCUCCCCGGCCGCUGUGCGGUACCCUGAUGAGGAAGCUUGAGACACGUAGAGGUUAACGGGUGAAGGAACUUGCCCAAAGUCACCUGGCCGGCAAGAAGUGAGUCAGAUUGCUACGCAGGCCUGAAAGAAACAGAGAGGUGUGGUAUCUGACCCCCAAAUCUGGAAUACACUGCAGUGUCCAGUGUCCUCUGGAUCAAAAGGCAAGUGAACAUGUCCAUCGGCAUGAAUCAGAUUACCAUGGAUCUGUGUAUGGAUUGAGCAUGAUGUCUCCUAAGUGCAUGAAAGACCACGGGGUGUCGUGUCAAUAUGCACACGUCACAGAGAACAGUUCCUGGUCCAUAUCAAGCUCUAUACAUGUCUUUGCUUCUACCGACAUCAGUAUCAGCAUCCUCAUCCUCAUCAUUAUGGGAAGUAGCAUAACCAUACUAUAAUGAUAAACAGAACAACAGACACAAAAGUAUGAAGACAUUACCUCCCCCCAUCUCCUAAUCUUUAAAAAUGCAGAGAAAAAACCUGGAAGGCAGUAGACUACAUAUUAAGUGUUUUUCUCUUGAGUGUGAAAUUCUAGAUAAUGCCCAAAUAACCUUUUUUUUUUUUUUGGCGGUACACGGGCCUCUCACUGUUGUGGCCUCUCCCGUUGCGGAGCACAGGCUCCGGAGGCGCAGGCUCAGUGGCCAUGGCUUAUGGGCCUAGCCGCUCCACGGCAUGUGGGAUCUUCCCGGACCGGGGCACGAACCCGUGUCCCCUGCAUCGGCAGGCGGACUCUCAACCACUGCACCACCAGGGAAGCCCCCAAAUAACCUUUUAAUGUGCUGUAUCUUCAUUGUUACGUAGCCAGUUUUUCUAUUAUAAUUUAAAACUAGUUUUUCUGAAGACCUGUUCUCUUAGGUAUCUUGACGUUUCAGGAUGAAAAAAAAUUGUUUUGGUAUCCUUGCCAAGUGAAAACCCAGUCAGCACACUUAAGUGAGGAGUAUGAUCUUUGGUACAGUGGGGGGUGUGGGGUGUGGGGUGUGGGGGGAGCAGAGAGGUCCCGAUGGAAGGUUAGCUAAGUCUGCAAGCGUUGUGAAAAAGGCCACGGACGAUAUAAGCCCAAACCAAACAACAACUCACAGGUCCCUAGGAAGAGACUGGUGUUCUAUCCACAUAAGUGUCUGUAUUAGGACUUCUUAGACCUUUGCUCUUUUGGCUCCCGUGGCACAGUGGGGCAGCGUGUGGCGCUUGUAACGCAGUCCUGCUUUGACCCAGGCUGUGGAUGAGAGUUGCAGCCUCCCCUGCAGCACCGCCCCUUUUGUGGGCCAACUGGAGCACUUUUCUUGGUGCCUGGGAGCCUCCAGAUUCAGAAGGGAAGGGAGACAGAAAAUGCGUAGCUCAGUAGGUAGAUCCGACCCUCCCAGAUAGAGCCAUGCACAGCAAGUGAGAUGCAGGUGCAGCUUGGUGCAGUAACCCGUUGGGAAUUAGCAGAGUCGGAUUGGGUGACUCAAGGAAGAAAUGUGGACGUGAAUGCAAAGGGGAGGAACCACAUUAAGAGGGGUAAACAGCUAUAAUUCCCAUUUCUGUAACAGGGUAGGGUACUCCAUUAUUGUUGGGAGAAGGCUCCCUGGUCUGAGCUCUGGGAGGGCGUCACGGCACUUUAGUGAUGAGCGUUCUGAGGAACCGCCAUCAACCCUAACCAGGGGGCGCUGAGUGUCUGAAGGCAGGAAGUCUCAGUCUUUACCCCUAACAGACACAGACAGCUUCUUAGCCCUGCUGAGAGUGGUGCUGUGGCACCUGAGGGAAGCUCAAAGUUGCCCUCUAGCAAAACUACCAGUGCUCCUUAUGUCCUAAUCCAGGUCAGGGUGGCUGCCCAGACACUGUGCACUGAUCCGGAUAAGUCUGAUGGUGUGUGUGUGUGUGUGUGUGUGUGUGUGUGUGUGUGUGUGUGUGACAAACAGUGACUUUAUUCAUUGAAUCGUUCACCAAGCUCCAAC